UACGUAGGGUGCAAGCGUUGUCCGGAAUUAUUGGGCGUAAAGGGUUCGUAGGCGGUCGGUCGCGUCGGCUGUGAAAACUCGGGGCUUAACUCCGGGCCUGCAGUGGGUACGGGCUGACUAGAGUGCGGUAGGGGAGACUGGAAUUCCUGGUGUAGCGGUGAAAUGCGCAGAUAUCAGGAGGAACACCGGUGGCGAAGGCGGGUCUCUGGGCCGUAACUGACGCUGAGGAGCGAAAGCGUGGGGAGCGAACAGG
rnacentral:rRNA from 1 species